rnacentral:lncRNA from 1 species
CAAAGCCAAGAGCAGGAGACCCAAUGGCACAGCCAUUCUCCAGGCUCGCGGCUUCCACAUGCACGCCUCCAUCGGGGCAACCCUGCUGGCAGGGCACAGCCCUGUCUCGGGACACCCACCAACCACCAGCUGGCCGCCCAGCCCCGGGACAGAGGUGGGCCCUCCCUGACCCUGCCUACCUCACCCUUGCCCCACGGCCUCAGCCUCGGGGACAUCAGCCCAAGACCUCUGGCCAACCUGCAGCCCAUGGCAUGGCAAGAGGCAGACCAUGGGGGGUGGGGUCACCAGGGACCUGGCGCCUUGGGAAUGCCGGCCCUCCCUCGCUCUCCUCCUUCAGUUCUGGCAGGCUGGUCCACAGGGGCUCCCACUGGCCCACUGGGCGAACGCAAGCACCAGGAGGGUCACGGCACGGAGGACAUUGGACCUCAGCGUUCCAGACACGUAUUCAUCGUACACGACUCAUACGCCACCAGCAGUCAUCAUCGAUCCAAUACUGCCCCCCUCCGUCUUCCCUGAGGGCCACCCUCUGGGUCGACCCAUUCACCAAAGUGCCGCCAAGACGUCCACACCCUCUGGACCCUUCACAACCUCAACGCCGGCUCCUUCCCAGAAGACCCUCCCGACACCCACACAGCGCCCAACUCGCCCAACCCAAAGGCACAGACCGGACUCUUACCCACACUGCUUCCUUGGCCAUCUCCCCCACUGAAGGAAUCGUCUAGGGGUCUCACCAGGGAAACGGGCCCAAUCGGCUCGCCGGGGUCUGGUGUGCACCCCACCACACAGACGCGAAGCUGCCAGAAAGGAAAGAGACCCGUACGGCGACAGAGAGAGCCAGGCGAGAGACAAGAGGGACAGACUGAGGCAGAGACACCGAGACAGAGAGUCAGGGACAGUGACAGAGGGACAGGGAAAGCGAGGAGGACCGCCACUGACUCGCCCUUUCUGCACUCAGCGGACUCAAGCGUCAGCCGGUUCUGCUCCUUCCCCGGGGUCCAGGUGAUUCUGCUACGAGCCCAAGGAGGCAGAACCUCAGGGCUUGGGGGUUGAAGGUCAGGCUGGGGCUGGGCUGCACUCAGUCCCUUAAACGGGACCACCGUUUCUUCACAAGGACACAGAUCCCUGCCAGGACAGAGUCCGGGCCCCCUUGAGCCAUCCAUCAGAUAACCUGCAUCCACCAGGCCGGUCUCGUGACACCUUCUUCCCUGCGCCCCGGUCUUCCCACUGAAGAGUCACUGGACCAGGCUUCUCCAUCACCCAAGUCCAUCCCGGCCGGGACCCAAACAUUGACGACGGAGGUCCCUGGCCCCUGAAGGUCUCCAGCCCCUGAGCAAACGAGAUCGGGACUGGGUCCACUCCCAGCCCACUCCCAAAGGAGCCCAGCCCAGCCCACAGUGGACUCUGGAGGCUCUGCGACCUCAGGGGUCCAGACAGGGCGUUCCUCACUGGCCUGGCCUCAUCCUCUACCAGUCCCCACCACUGCCUCAUGGGGCUCCAACCAGACACCCACUCCGGGCUCCAUGCCUCUCAGGCCCACCAUGGCCUCCUUGAGAGGAAGCCAAGCCAGACGUGUGUGGAUGAGCUCAAGACCCGGCCACCUCCUGAACUGCUCACCCCUCCUUCCCCAUGGAGUGGGGCCCUCCGUCCCGCCUGAGCAGCCAUGUUCUCCUGGCUCAGUUUCCGGAGGACUUUGGACUCAGCG